rnacentral:rRNA from 1 species
GACGAACGCUGGCGGCGUGCUUAACACAUGCAAGUCGAACGGAAAGACCCUGCUCUUGUGGGGUGCUCGAUUGGCGCACGGGUGAGUAACACGUGAGUAUCCUGCCCUUGACUUUGUGAUAACUUUAGGAAACUGCGGCUAUUACCGGAUAGGAUCUCCUGCUGCACGGUGUGCGUUGGUAAGUUUCGGCGGUUGGGGAUGGACUCGCGGCUUAUCAGCUUGUUGGUGGGGUAGUGGCGGACCAAGGCUUUGACGGGUAGCCGGCCUGAGAGGGUUACCGGCCACAUUGGGACUGAGAUACGGCCCAGAAUCCUACGGGAGGCAGCAGUGGGGAAUAUUGCACAAUGGGCGGAAGCCUGAUGCAGCAACGCCGCGUGCGGGAUGACGGCCUUCGGGUUGUAAACCGCUUUCGCCUGUGACGAAGCGUGAGUGACGGUAAUGGGUAAAGAAGCACCGGCUAACUACGUG